AUUGAACGCUGGCGGCAUGCCUUACACAUGCAAGUCGAACGGCAGCAUGGAGAGCUUGCUCUCUGAUGGCGAGUGGCGAACGGGUGAGUAAUGCAUCGGAACGUACCGUGUAAUGGGGGAUAACGUAGCGAAAGUUACGCUAAUACCGCAUACGACCUGAGGGUGAAAGCAGGGGAUCGCAAGACCUUGCGUUAUACGAGCGGCCGAUGUCAGAUGAUAGCUAGUUGGGGAGGUAACGGCUCACCAAGGCGACGACCUGUAGCGGGUCUGAGAGGAUGAGCCGCCACACUGGGACGGAGACACGGCCCAGGAUCCUUCGGGAGGCAGGAGUGGGGAAGUGUGGAAGAGGGGAGCAACCCUGACCCAGCCAUGCCGCGUGAGUAAAGAAGGCCUUCGGGUUGUAAAGCUCUUUCGGCCGGGAAGAAAUCGCACCGGCUAAUACUCUGUGUGCAUGACGGUCCCGGCAUAAGACGCACCGGCUAACUACGUGCCAGCAGCCGCCGUAA
rnacentral:rRNA from 1 species